rnacentral:lncRNA from 1 species
GGGUGAGGGGCACGGUCACGUGCUGAUGCCCCCUCAUUCUAUCUGGUCCCCCAGGAAAUGUCACCGAAUUGAACCAAGGGCUGCAGGAGACUUUGAAAAAACUGGAGCGACCAAGGUCAAAGACCCCCGCCCCGCCCUGGGCCAUGCUUCUCCCACUUCCAACCCCCGCCCCCACCCGCUUAGCUCCAAAAAUCCACAUUGCCUCUGAGGUGGGGGGUGGGGGUAAGGUUCAAGUCCUCGAAAAGGAAGACUCUGUCCGUAGGGUCCAAGAGCCCUAGGUGGCUACUGCCCAGUGACUGGGGUGGGGACGAGGCUCGGUGGGGAGGGUGGCCAGGGCUGUCAUGCAAGAUGAUGGCCCAGCGGCUGCCUGAGUCCCCCAUCGUCACCUAGAACGGAAAACACCCAGACCAUCCCGGCCAGCUCCCAGGCCACCAUCGUUCUGCAGCUCUCCAUGUCGCUCCUGCUCCUGAGCCUCGCCAUUCCGCUGCUCUGAGGCCCCAGGAGGUCAGAGGUCAGGAUCCUGGGCGGCCCUGGGGAGGAGGAAGCUGGGGGCGCUGGGAGGGGGGCAGGGACUCCAAGGGAUUGGGGGGGGGGCGGGCCUCACCGCUUGGAGGAGAGAGGAGCUGCGGGGGGGGAGAGGGAGGAGACUCAGGGGCGAGGGGAGGGGCCUGAGGGGCCUGAGGGGCGGGGCUUAGGGAGGGGCGGGGUUUAGGGAGGCUGCGGGCUCUGUUCUGUCUGCCUUCAGUCUAUCCUGAGUCUCUCUUAUCAUGUCUCCUAGGCCCCAAUCUGAACUGGUCCGGCUGCACCUGUGCUUUUCCCAGCGACUGUCCCUUGACCCAGCUGGUUACUGAGGGGAGAGGGGACGAGUAAAAGUGAAGGGGCCAUGGGGCAGCUGUGGAGGGGCCGUGGGGCAAUGGGGGAGGGGAGGCCAAGCAGCUGGGUGGGAGCGGGGCUGCUUCCUUGGAAGCCACCCUACUUGGGCCGGGGAUGGUGGAAGGGUGGGGACGCUGCCUCUUGCUGUAUUAGGGGUGGGUGUUGCUUUCCUCUGGGGGUCUUUGAGCUCCAAAGAAUAAACAUCUCUUUUGGGAGGAAAGACCUCUUACUCUCAA